rnacentral:rRNA from 1 species
GACGAACGCUGGCGGCGUGCUUAACACAUGCAAGUCGAACGGAAAGGCCCUGCUUUUGUUGGGUGCUCGUGUGGCGAACGGGUGAGUAACACGCGAGUAACCUGCCCUUGACUUUGUGAUAACUUCAGGAAACUGGGGCGAAUACCGGAUAGGAGCUCCUGCUGCAUGGUGGGGGUUGGAAAGUUUCGGCGGUUGGGGAUGGACUCGCGGCUUAUCAGCUUGUUGGUGGGGUAGUGGCUUACCAAGGCUUUGACGGGUAGCCGGCCUGAGAGGGUGACCGGCGACAUUGGGACUGAGAUACGGCCCAGACGCGUACGGGAGGCAGAAGUGGGGAAUAUUGCACAAUGGGCGGACGCCUGAUGCAGAAACGCCGCGUGCGGGAUGACGGCCUUCGGGUUGUAAACCGAUUUCGCCUGUGACGAAGAGUGAGUGACGGUAAUGGGUAAAGAAGCACCGGCUAACUACGUG